GAGCGCGCGCCCCUCGGUGGGCGGAGUCUGAUGAAGAGUUCGUGCAGUGAACAGGUACGAAGAGGGUCGCCAUUAACACCGUGUCAGUACCGGACGGUCCAGCUGGAGGGUGAUGGACCUGUCAAAGCGAGUUUCUCUGUGGUCGGUGGAAGAAGUGUUGGAGUGGGUGGAGGAUCAGUACCCAGCCCACAUGAGCACGCUCCAUAAAGCCAUAAUGAAACACGCCAUAUCAGGCCGUGCAUUGCUGAGAUUAAAGGAUCAUCACCUGGAGCUCCUCGGGGUGGAGACUGAGGAGCAGCAGCAGGAAAUCUUACAGGACCUCCUCCUCCUCAAAGUGCAAGAAGAAAUCAGUGAGCUGAGUGACAUCUGCUCCGAGUGUUUUUCUCAAUAACAGGAAAUAAACAUCCUCGGAAGAAAAGAGGCGCAUCUCUCUUCUUUUCCCAUCACUCGUUCGGUCAUGUGAAGGCGGGAGAAAAGUGCGAGUGAUGGAAAUAAGAAGCUGAAGAGAAAGAAGAAUCAAUGAAGACUGAAGAUAGAGAGAAAUCUCCUGUGUGAACGUUGCUCCAGACUCAAAGACUCAGCAGCGAUCCACUGAUUAGCAGGAAAGUUGUUACUGUUACCUUUUCUUCUAGAACCAUUGAGUCAAAAUGUAAACGGUCCAAUACUUUGUUUAUGAGCAGACACCUGUAAGACAAUGACAGCCUCGGCUAGGAUUAGCAUUAGCAAACAGCAGCAUGCUAACAUGUUAAAAUAAGACGUUGAACAUGGUAAACAGUGGGGGACCGCCCCAACCCCAACCUGAACCACUAACCCCACGGCUCAUUACUCCAAAACCCAGAUAGUUCGAAAAAUGUCCGAGAACGCUCGCACGCUGUUUAUAGUUAGUGUUGCAAAAAAAAGUCAGAGGCAGGUCGGGGGUGUGUCGUCACAGAUUAAAAAAUAACAGGAAGUUGGACUAAUGGGCCUUCUGAACACUCACAUGACACCUGAUAUUAAUACUCGCUGAACAUCAACUUGUUGACACCAUGCUAGCAUUAGCUUUUAGCUAAUCAUCCACCAGUAUUUCUUCGAGUUUCAUUGCAAACAAACAACUUUGUUAACACUUUUUCACCACAGUAGCACUUGGUUGAUAAAUCUGAAAAUAUCAGGUCAGUAAGUGUAAUUGGAUGACAUCUACAAAUAAAACACAGUCAGACCUAAAUCAGAAGCAUCUGUUCGAUCACUGAUCGAGUAAUCUGACUGCAGGCUUGUAACAUUCAUGGAAAUGACAGGAAGAUGCUGACAGAGAGAAAUCCUCCAGUCAGAGAGUUUCCAUGUAAACAUUUCCAUGAAAUCUGAAUCCAAAGAGUGACGCCCCCUGCUGUUUGCUCUGUCUGAAAUGUCUUCUCAUGUUGUGUUAGUUGUUUUUCUGAAGUGAAUGUUAAAGAAAAGCCUCUCAGCUCUUCAGGAUCUGAUGCUGGUUUGUGAUGUGACUGAGCCUGAUCUGUAUUAACUAGAACAUGUGAGUGUCUUUAAUGUAAGAGGUCCUCAGACUUUCAGACUUCUGAUGCCCUGUUUCCUCAUUGUAAUGUGUUUUAUGGGCUGCUGCUCGUGUGUAUAACGUAAAAGGUCAAACAUCUGUGUGUGAACGUUUAUGUUUGGUUGGUUGGAUUAAAACUGCUGCUUUGCUGA